rnacentral:misc_RNA from 1 species
GGUUUUGGUUUAGGUUUAGGACAGGUGAUAGAGUCAAAUAUAUUGGCUCUGCUCCUGGUGAACUGCACUUGAGUCCCAUCAGGAGUGUAAAAGUUGGGUCUACAGGGAGUGUUGCAUUGUCUUUUAAUGAUAAUCUAUUCGCAAAAGUUGGUGUAAGAUUUGAUAACCCCUUCACAUAUGGCAUCGACUUAGGUGGUCUUUGUGAUGAUUCUCAUGGAUACUUCUGCAAAGUGAGUGAGCUGUGCUUAGACGCCCCUGCUGUGGAGGAUCCGGAC